rnacentral:lncRNA from 1 species
AUAGUCAAUAUUGAAUUUAAUAUGACCUAUAACUUAAUUCUCAAUUAACUAAAUCUAUUUAUUCAAUCAAGUCUUAUACUUCAAAAUAGAUGUUAAGUCAAUUCUUUCCUAUGUUGCUUGACUUUGUGCGUGACUCCGUAGGUUCGAACACUAAGUCGAUAGUAUAGAAACUAUUUUCUAUGCUAUCGAAGUGACCAUCUAGCAUGAUACCCGACGUCC